UUGAACGCUGGCGGCAGGCCUAACACAUGCAAGUCGAGCGGAUGAAGGGAGCUUGCUCCUGGAUUCAGCGGCGGACGGGUGAGUAAUGCCUAGGAAUCUGCCUGGUAGUGGGGGAUAACGUCCGGAUACGGGCGCUAAUACCGCAUACGUCCUGAGGGAGAAAGUGGGGGAUCUUCGGACCUCACGCUAUCAGAUGAGCCUAGGUCGGAUUAGCUAGUUGGUGGGGUAAAGGCCUACCAAGGCGACGAUCCGUAACUGGUCUGAGAGGAUGAUCAGUCACACUGGAACUGAGACACGGUCCAGACUCCUACGGGAGGCAGCAGUGGGGAAUAUUGGACAAUGGGCAAAAGCCUGAUCCAGCCAUGCCGCGUGUGUGAAGAAGGUCUUCGGAUUGUAAAGCACUUUAAGUUGGGAGGAAGGGCAGUAAGUUAAUACCUUGCUGUUUUGACGUUACCAACAGAAUAAGCACCGGCUAACUUCGUG
rnacentral:rRNA from 1 species